GACGAACCGUACGAACGUUAUUCGGAAUUACUGGGCGUAAAGCGCACGUAGGCGGAUUUGUAAGUCAGGGGUGAAAUCCCGAGGCUCAACCUCGGAACUGCCUUUGAUACUGCAAAUCUCGAGUCCGGAAGAGGUGAGUGGAAUUCCUAGUGUAGAGGUGAAAUUCGUAGAUAUUAGGAAGAACACCAGUGGCGAAGGCGGCUCACUGGUCCGGUACUGACGCUGAGGUGCGAAAGCGUGGGGAGCAAACAGG
rnacentral:rRNA from 1 species